rnacentral:rRNA from 1 species
AGAGUUUGAUCCUGGCUCAGAAUGAACGCUGGCGGCGUGCCUAACACAUGCAAGUCGGAUGUGCCCGCAAGGGUGCAUGGCAGACGGGUGAGUAACGCGUGGGGAAUCUACCUCUUUGUGGGGAAUAACGCUCCGAAAGGAGUGGUAAUACCGCAUGAGAUCCAUGGCUGGAAUGUUGUGGAUGAAACCUGGGGACCUUCGGGCCUGGGGCAAGGAGAGGAUCCUGCGUCUGAUUAGCUAGUUGGUGAGGUAACGGCCCACCAAGGCAACGAUCAGUAGCCGGCCUGAGAGGGUGAUCGGCCACACUGGAACUGAGACACGGUCCAGACUCCUACGGGAGGCAGCAGUGGGGAAUUUUGCGCAAUGGGCGAAAGCCUGACGCAGCAACGCCGCGUGGGUGAUGAAGGUCUUCGGAUC